GGAGUCGGCCGAGGCAGUCGCGUCGCAGCAAUGCGCCGAGGAAAGUCCGGGCUCCAUAGAGCAGGGUGCCAGGUAACGCCUGGGCGGCGUGAGCCGACGGAAAGUGCAACAGAAAACAAACCGCCGAACGGCCCGCAAGGGUGCGUGGUAAGGGUGAAACGGUGGGGUAAGAGCCCACCGCCCGGGGGGACAACGCCCCGGGGCACGGCAAACCCCACCUGGAGCAAGGCCAAAUAGGGGUGCGAUGGCAUGGCUCGUGCCGCACCCGGGUUGGCUGCUUGAGGCCUGCGGUGACGCAGGUCCCAGAGGAAUGACUGUCCACGACAGAACCCGGCUUAAUGGCCGGCUCCGCCA
rfam:Arenimonas donghaensis DSM 18148 = HO3-R19 contig5, whole genome shotgun sequence.